AAAAAUGGCAGAUCUAUUGCAGCAAGAAAAAGGAACAAGAGGACCCCAACAAGCUUGCUACCAGCUGGCCUGAUUACUAUAUUGACCGCAUUAACUCCAUGGCAGCUAUGCAGACACUAUUUGCUUUUGAUGAAGAGGAAAUGGAGAUGAGAAACAAGGUAGUAGAGGAUCUAAAGACAGCCCUCCGGACGCAACCAAUGAGCGCAAACCGGAUGGACCUCAGAACCCCUGAAACUCAUGUAUCGCAAGGGUCUCAACACCAAUCUACAGGCCAAGCUCGUUUGCCAUGAUGAGGGGAAAACCCUCAUCGAGGUGUCCCCAUUUCACAACCAAUUGAACUCCCU